rnacentral:lncRNA from 1 species
CAAUAAUUAACAUAAAAACAUAGGUCUCGAAUUAAAACAAAAAAUUAAACAAUUUUGUCAUCAUCCAAUACAUGAAAAUAUUUAGCCUAGCAUAUUUUUAAAAUUAGAUGAAGAAAAGUGGAAGGACAUCACCAAGAAUUUAUGGAACGUGAAUAACUUCAAUGGCGUGUAUAACUCUAUCAAUUUCUCCCCAGUUGGCUGCCUUUUGAUGCGUAUAAAAUAUAUAAAAUUCUGCCCCACUGCCGGUUUUAUUGACUCCAAAAUAGUGAAAUUCCAAAAUGUUUCUUUUCUCCCAGCAAUUGUAUUACUUUAGCAGCCCUUUGCAGUCCAGUUUCACGUUGCUAUUUUCUUCCAGAAAUUCCUCCAAGUUGGCUGCCUCAUUAAUGGUUUUGUCUCCAAAAGAUUCUCCACCUUUUUUCCUUCAAUUGGCUGCCAUGAAUAUAUAAUUAACCAAUAACCUCUAGCCUUCCUUCAAUGAAAUUCAGCCAGCAAUUUUAUUUCUCAAAAUCAGAUUUUUCCUUUCUCUCCACUUUUCUUUCUUUUCUUUUUCUGUCGGCAGUUCUCGUUCUUCUCCUUUAAAACUGAUCUGCAAGGUUUUUAAUAGUAAAACCUAGGAAAAUUUUUAGCUCUAGUCCCUGAAAUUUGGAGAAGCAUUUAAAAUGACCCCCAAGAAUUAAAAUGGCCCACAAUCGCCCAAUUCACUGUAAUCGGCCACCAAAUAAAUGGAUUUUGUCACUUUUCGCCAAUUUUUGCUUCUUUCCUUUCCUUCUUCGUCCAAGCACGAGUUUUACCUAAGAAAAUUAAUACAAUAAAAUUUAGAUCAUAUUUUGCCAAAAGAACAAUAAAAUUAUAUAGUUUAGAGCCCCGAAUAAGUGUAGAAAAUACACUUAUCAAACCCCCAAACUUGAAUCUUUAUUUGUCCUCAAACAAAACUGAAAUCUAAAUAACAACAAACAUACAAGCAUGCAAAAAUUAUUUGGUUGGACAGUUUAACUUUUUACCAUAGCAUUUGAGAUCACCGAAUUAAAUCUAUAAACUGCUUCAAAGUUGCAAUACCAAACCAAUUUUCACUCUACCAAUGCAAAAUCGACGUGUGUGUGUGAAAAAUUAAGUAGACACUAAUGACUUCACAAGUUGUUUUAAUUUCCGACCCUCUAUGGUCAAAUAUAUUCUUUCAUCUCUCGUAAGAUUCACACAGCUCCAACUUUAUUAUUUUCACUCAAUUCCCAGCAGGUGAUCUAAGGUUGAAUUUUUCAUUACUAUCAUUACCCUCUCUAGAUCAGGUGGACGUCACUAGUUGCAAGUUAAUACAUCAAUGAACAAAGAUUCUCAAUUAAUUGAUUGCUUCAACCGCUAGGACUCAACUAGGCUAAUUAUCCUUCAUUGAAAAGUCAAAUUUUCUCGAAUAAGUGUUCGGACUUAACAAGGCAAUUAGUGCUUUUGCUUUUUUCAUGCACUUGCUUUUUCUGAUUUUUAAGAGUUUUUUUUUAUUUUUUUAUUCUCUCUAUUAAGCUUUCUAGAUGACCCAUGUAGCAGGCUUUAGGCCGAUGACUUCCAAGUCAGAUGACUUUAGAGCAUCAGGUUUUAAGACACCCUUACAAGCUUAAUAACCCGAAUCAAAAAGGCUUCGAAGAGAACAAAUUUUAUUUUUUUCAAGUGCAACUUCAUCCUUGAUUGCUUUCUAAAUAACCCCUGUAACGAGCUUUAGGCCGAUGACUCCCAAGUCAGAUGACUUUAGGGCAUCAGGUUUUAAGAU